AUUGUUUCCUCUCCUUUCGAGGCUGUAAAAUAAGAUGGUGAUUAAAGGUUAGCGAAAAAAUGAGCACAUUCUAAAGUACAUAUUUGGGACGUUGAAUUGUUUUCAAACAUCCAGCUGAAGGCUGUGAUUUGUUUCAAUGUAUGUAUAGAAACAAUGUAUGCUUCCGUAAAAGCAUUUUUGACCCCUUGAAUCACCAUCUUAUUUUAC
rnacentral:misc_RNA from 1 species